GACGAACGCUGGCGGCGUGCUUAACACAUGCAAGUCGAACGGAAAGGCCCUGCUUUUGUGGGGUGCUCGAGUGGCGAACGGGUGAGUAACACGUGAGUAACCUGCCCUUGACUUUGGGAUAACUUCAGGAAACUGGGGCUAAUACCGGAUAGGAGCUCCUGCUGCAUGGUGGGGGUUGGAAAGUUUCGGCGGUUGGGGAUGGACUCGCGGCUUAUCAGCUUGUUGGUGGGGUAGUGGCUUACCAAGGCUUUGACGGGUAGCCGGCCUGAGAGGGUGACCGGCCACGUGGGGAAAGAGAGACGGCCCGGACUCCGAGGGGGGGAAGAGGGGGGGAAUUUUGCAGAUGGGGGGGAGGCUGGAAGCAGCACCGCCGGGUGGGGGAGGCCGGCUUUCGGUUUUGAACCCGUUUGCGCCUGUGACGAAGGGGGAGGGAGGUUAGGGGAUAAAAAACCCCCGCCAAACUAGGGC
rnacentral:rRNA from 1 species